rnacentral:rRNA from 1 species
GCCCCGUACACAAAAAUGCACAUACUGUGAGCUCGAUGAGUAGGGCGGGACACGUGGUAUCCUGUCUGAAUAUGGGGGGACCAUCCUCCAAGGCUAAAUACUCCUGACUGACCGAUAGUGAACCAGUACCGUGAGGGAAAGGCGAAAAGAACCCCGGCGAGGGGAGUGAAAAAGAACCUGAAACCGUGUACGUACAAGCAGUGGGAGCACGCUUAGGCGUGUGACUGCGUACCUUUUGUAUAAUGGGUCAGCGACUUAUAUUCUGUAGCAAGGUUAACCGAAUAGGGGAGCCGAAGGGAAACCGAGUCUUAACUGGGCGUUAAGUUGCAGGGUAUAGACCCGAAACCCGGUGAUCUAGCCAUGGGCAGGUUGAAGGUUGGGUAACACUAACUGGAGGACCGAACCGACUAAUGUUGAAAAAUUAGCGGAUGACUUGUGGCUGGGGGUGAAAGGCCAAUCAAACCGGGAGAUAGCUGGUUCUCCCCGAAAGCUAUUUAGGUAGCGCCUCGUGAAUUCAUCUCCGGGGGUAGAGCACUGUUUCGGCAAGGGGGUCAUCCCGACUUACCAACCCGAUGCAAACUGCGAAUACCGGAGAAUGUUAUCACGGGAGACACACGGCGGGUGCUAACGUCCGUCGUGAAGAGGGAAACAACCCAGACCGCCAGCUAAGGUCCCAAAGUCAUGGUUAAGUGGGAAACGAUGUGGGAAGGCCCAGACAGCCAGGAUGUUGGCUUAGAAGCAGCCAUCAUUUAAAGAAAGCGUAAUAGCUCACUGGUCGAGUCGGCCUGCGCGGAAGAUGUAACGGGGCUAAACCAUGCACCGAAGCUGCGGCAGCGACGCUUAUGCGUUGUUGGGUAGGGGAGCGUUCUGUAAGCCUGUGAAGGUGUGCUGUGAGGUAUGCUGGAGGUAUCAGAAGUGCGAAUGCUGACAUAAGUAACGAUAAAGCGGGUGAAAAGCCCGCUCGCCGGAAGACCAAGGGUUCCUGUCCAACGUUAAUCGGGGCAGGGUGAGUCGACCCCUAAGGCGAGGCCGAAAGGCGUAGUCGAUGGGAAACAGGUUAAUAUUCCUGUACUUGGUGUUACUGCGAAGGGGGGACGGAGAAGGCUAUGUUGGCCGGGCGACGGUUGUCCCGGUUUAAGCGUGUAGGCUGGUUUUCCAGGCAAAUCCGGAAAAUCAAGGCCGAGGCGUGAUGACGAGGCACUACGGUGCUGAAGCAACAAAUGCCCUGCUUCCAGGAAAAGCCUCUAAGCAUCAGGUAACAUCAAAUCGUACCCCAAACCGACACAGGUGGUCAGGUAGAGAAUACCAAGGCGCUUGAGAGAACUCGGGUGAAGGAACUAGGCAAAAUGGUGCCGUAACUUCGGGAGAAGGCACGCUGAUACGUAGGUGAAGCGACUUGCUCGUGGAGCUGAAAUCAGUCGAAGAUACCAGCUGGCUGCAACUGUUUAUUAAAAACACAGCACUGUGCAAACACGAAAGUGGACGUAUACGGUGUGACGCCUGCCCGGUGCCGGAAGGUUAAUUGAUGGGGUUAGCGCAAGCGAAGCUCUUGAUCGAAGCCCCGGUAAACGGCGGCCGUAACUAUAACGGUCCUAAGGUAGCGAAAUUCCUUGUCGGGUAAGUUCCGACCUGCACGAAUGGCGUAAUGAUGGCCAGGCUGUCUCCACCCGAGACUCAGUGAAAUUGAACUCGCUGUGAAGAUGCAGUGUACCCGCGGCAAGACGGAAAGACCCCGUGAACCUUUACUAUAGCUUGACACUGAACAUUGAGCCUUGAUGUGUAGGAUAGGUGGGAGGCUUUGAAGUGUGGACGCCAGUCUGCAUGGAGCCGACCUUGAAAUACCACCCUUUAAUGUUUGAUGUUCUAACGUGGACCCGUGAUCCGGGUUGCGGACAGUGUCUGGUGGGUAGUUUGACUGGGGCGGUCUCCUCCUAAAGAGUAACGGAGGAGCACGAAGGUUGGCUAAUCCUGGUCGGACAUCAGGAGGUUAGUGCAAUGGCAUAAGCCAGCUUGACUGCGAGCGUGACGGCGCGAGCAGGUGCGAAAGCAGGUCAUAGUGAU